ACGGGGUCAGCAUAUCCUUGAGGAAGAUACAUGAAGAAGAGUCAUCAAGACUCAGCAAGUUUGUCAGCAAGUUUGAGAAAGUAGAAAAAAAGGUAGAAGGAAAGGGUGGGCCAGACAACCACAGCAAGAUGCGUGAAAAAUUAGAUGAUCCAAUCAGCAUUCUAUUUUAAAUGCGUGAACAGCUAGGAUGAACCAAUCAUGUAUUAGCUAGAGACGUGUGAACAGUAGAAACUUAUUAUAAAUAUAGCCUGUUAGAAUAAUAAACUUGAUCGUAUUGAUCAUGGCGUGAUGUCCCAUUCCUGAUCCUCCACACCCCGUAUUUUUGGUGGAGAAUGCAGGCAACCCCCAACUUGAUAGCACGAGAGGGACUUGAGGAUGGUAGUUUGGCUGCUGUGCAGAAGAUCAGAGCCAGCCUUUGAGGAGUGGAGAAGCCAGCCAAAAGUAUCCUCACUGCCCUGGUGAGAGGAAAAGGUUGCAGACUGGAGCUCCAAUUGCAGAGGACUUGAAUCUCGCCCUGAUCAAGGGAAACAGACAGCGGAGCGCGGCCCUGCACGCCAAGACACAAGCUCGGGGAACUGCAUGGAUAGCUCAGCCUCCAACAAAGGAGGAGGACUUUACUCACUCAGAUCAUCGACUUCUGGGAGUGCCGGACGUGGAAACUGCAGUAGACAUCACCAUCAUGGACUCUGCUGUACACCUGAUAGAUACUAAUGUAAAAAGACCCUUGGCGAGUGGGCUUAGUUCUUUUCUGUUAGGGAGAUCAUCUGCUAGCAAAAAGGGAUUGGAUGUAAUUCCUGGGGUUAUUGAUGCAGACUGUCAAGGGGUUAUUGAAAUCAUGGUUAGGACAUUUUCCUCUCCUGUGUCUAUUCCCAAAGGUUCAGGAAUUGCUCAACUUAUUCCUUUUAAGUCUUGUGUCCCCUGUACAGGCUUCAAGGAGUGGGGAACAGGAAGCUUUGGCUCCACAAGUAACCCAGAAGUAUAUUGGGCCAUGGACAUCACAAGAGGUAAACCAGACAAACAGGUAACCCUGACACAUCUUAAUGGUAAUUCUAUUACUAGGAAACUCACAAUUGACACUAGAGCAGAUAUAACCAUCAUUUCAAACACAAUAUGGCCCAAGAAUUGGGUGUUGGUCAAUCCUGUUUUAGGCAUUGCAGGAAUUGGAGGGACUCAGGCAACUCAAUUAAGCAGAAAAGUGAUCUCUUUUCCUUUGCCAGAUGGACUGAGUGUAUCUACAAGACCCUUUGUCAUGCAAACUCCCGUUGAUUUGCUGGGUUUACUUGGUAGGGACCUGUUAAGCCAGCUAAAACUACCAUUGUUACACAGCCUUUUUAGCAGCGGCCACUGGGGGACAGCCAAUCCUCAAAAUUGGCUGGACCACAGAUAAGCCUGUGUGGAUUGAACAGUGGCUGCUGUCAAAGGAAAAGCUGCUCAUAAUCCAACAAUUAGUGCAAGAAUAGCUUGAGGCAGGACACAUAAAGCCAUCCACUAGCUCUUGGAACACCCCAAUUUUUUCCAUCCUGGAAAAGAGUGGGAAAUGGAGGUUGCUACAUGAUUUACAUGCAGUUAAUGCAGUAAUGCUAAGCAUGGGUGCCUUGCAACCUGGUCUUCCAUCUCCUACUAUGAUACCUGAGUCAUGGAAUCUGUUAAUCAUUGAUCUUAAGGAUUGUUUUUUCACUAUUCCCCUGCAUGCAGACGACACUAGUCAUUUUGCAUUCUCUGUUCUUAUCUAUCAAUAAAGCAGAACCCUACAAAAGGUAUGAAUGGAUUUAUUUGCCCCAGGGCAUGUGUAACUCACCCACGAUUUGCCAAAUUUAUGUCGCAUGGGCUUAACCUGUUCGGCAACAACUCCCUGAAUGUAUCAUCUAUCACUAUAUGGAUGAUAUCUUAAUGGCUGGGAAAAAAUUGGACGCUGUAACUCUUUUAAAAACCAUGACAGCUUUGCUAGAGGAAAGGGGAAUAAAAAUUGCUCCUGAUAAGGUGCAACAUUCAUCUCCUUGGAAAUAUCUCGGGUGGCAGAUCGAUCAGUCUUUAGUGAGACCACAGAAACUCACCAUCACCACCGAAAUUAAAACUGUACAUGAUGUCCAGAAGCUAGUGGGGGAUAUUCAAUGGAUUAGAACUAUUUGUGGGAUAACUAACAAAGAACUUGAACCAUCAAUACAGUUACUAGGUACUUCGUCUCAGGCAGAUGAUCAUCGGACCCUGGAUAAGAGACAAAAGCAGGGUUUGAAUCACAUAGCCACAAAGGUUGCUACAGCGCAUGCACAUCGCGUGAUCGAGGAUGUUCCAUCAAUUGAUGAUCAUAAAUCAGAGCAAAGAGGGUGACCAUUAUGCUAAGCAUUUUUUCGCCUUGAUCUGUCAAUGGAUAAAAACUCAAGCUAAUCCUUUAGUCAUUCUGGAAUGGGCAUUUUUACCUGUAAAGCAGCCUAGAACUAUCACCACUCGAUUGGAACUUUUUGCUCAUUGGAUUAUGAAGGGCAGAGGGAGAGUAUUGGAAAUCUGGGGACAUGAACCAUGUGCAAUUGUAAUACCAUUGGCUAGCUGGUAUCUUGAAUGGGGAAUCAGGCAUUCUGUUCCUUUACAGAUAGCUUUGGCUGAUUAUGAUGGUAAAAUUCACAAUACUUAUCCGCGCCACCGGGUGUUAUCUUAAUUGGAGCAUCAGCGCCUGGAGGACAGGCCCUGGAGAUCUGACUGUCCAGUAUCUGGGCUGACAGUAUUUACAGAUGCAGGUAAAAGGUCAAAAAGGGCUGCCUGCACGUGGCAGCAAGACAAAGUAUGGAAAAAGCAUGUCAUUUUUGGAGAGGUAAAAGAUACGUUGCAGACAUUAGAAUUGAAGGCUGUUAUUUGGGCUUUUGAAAAUUGGGACAAUGAGGCCAUUAACAUUGUUUCUGAUUCACUUUAUGUAGUUGGCUGUGUCCAACACCUUGAAAGAGCAGUGCUUAAGGAGGUGAGUAAUAAACAUCUAUAUUCCCUGUUAAGCCAAUUGCUUAAAAACUUAAAUCAGUGACGGCAGGAAUACUUUAUUACUCAUGUUCCUAGUCAUCAAACUCUCACUGGUCUGUCUGAAGGUAAUGCUCGAGCUGAUCAGUUGGUAGCCACUGUCUGGCCAAUGCCAGCCUCUGAUAAAUUUCAGCAGGCUAGAAAUUCUCACACCUUUUUUCAUCAAUCUGCAAGAAAGUUAGUUAAACAAUUUGGUGUUCCUCUCACUGAUGUUAAAGGUAUUGUGUGAUCCUGCCCUGAUUGUCAACAAGAUGGCAUUGGUUUAGGCACUGGUGCCAACCCUCAGGGUACCCAACCCUUGCAAUUAUGGCAAAUGGAUGUAACUCAUGUAGCAGAAUUUGGUCAGAAAAAGUUUGUACAUGUAUGCAUUGAUACUUAUUCUUAUGUUGUAUGGGCUACUCCCUUACCAGGUGAGACAGCACGUCAUGUAGAGAAACAUUUGUACAAUUGCUUUGCUAUAUUAGGUAUCCCCUUAGGAAUUAAGACUGACAACGGUCCAGCCUACUGUUCCUUACGAUUCCAGCAUUUCUGUAAUUUAUGGGGUAUUCAACAUGACACUGCUAUUCCUCACAAUCCUACUGGUCAGGCAAUUAUUGAGCGUGCCCAUCAGAUGUUCAAGGGCAUGCUGCAAAAAACAGAAAGGGGGAACUACAGGAUUAUCCCCCGAGGAGAAAACAGCUAAAACCAUUUUUAUGCUUAAUUACCUUAGAACAACAGGAGAUAGGGAUGACCCACCUAUUCUUGUGCAUCAUGCCCUCAUACAUAAUCCAAGUGAGGAAUUGCCUGAUGGUAUUCAGGUCAUGUUCAAAAGCCCAGAAACAGGGAUGUGGGAAGGACCAGCUACAGUAAAAUUAAUAGGCAGAGGCUAUAUGUGCGUACUUACAGAUGAAGGCAUUCGCUGGAUUCCAGCCAAGUGGGUGAAGCCUUAUUUAAAACCACCAUCAUCAACCCAUGUUGUGCCCAGAGGCGGAGAGCCAGCGACAGCACCGAAUCCAGACAGCCCUGAACCCACUUCUCCAACACCUGACAGCUGAACAAUACUCGGAGAUUUUACCAAUAUUGCUGGAGUUUGUUGCAGCAACACAUACUGCACCUCCAUGUAGGUUUAGUAUACACAGGUUGGACGUAACCAGUUACUAUUUACCUUCACUUCCAUCACAAAUUUUGAGUCAGAUAGAAAAUGCUUGUUCUAUGCGUGGUUAUGCAUGUAAGCCAUGGCUUAAGAUUCAUUGUAUAAAGUGUAAUUUGAAAACUUGGCGGAAAGUUCAUCAAGAACAUAAUAUAACCUUAGCUCGAGAGAGAAAGCAAAAAUUUAGGUUUACUAACUUUGUAUGCAAUAGAUGUACUUAACAAUAUUACCCCAACAACAGCAUUAGCUAUAUUUUUAGGGCCAAAUCCACCAAGGCCAGAGGGACAUCAGAGUUUUUGCCAGGAUUUAUCUUUGAUAGAGAUGCAGGAUCAAAGAUUGUUACUGUGGGUGCAAUAUCAUCUUGCUUUAAUUGCUUUAAUAAAUCAAAUUGCACUAGGGAGUAAGACAAUAGCUACUGAAUGUGGAGUAGGAAUAGCACUGCCACAACAGCAUCAUGUUGCUGACAGUCAGUGGGACGAGGCUAAAGCACAUUGGACAAUGCAUAGGCAUCAAAGACAACGGCAAGAAUGGCAAUAGUCUGGCAGGUAUUAACAGUGCUACUCAGUGCAAAUAGUCUGGCAGGUAUUAACAGUGCUACUCAGUGCAAAUAGUCUGGCAGGUAUUAACAGUGCUACUCAGUGCGAUGAUUAAGGAGACGCAGGGACUACACAAUAUGGAUCAGUGAACUAACAUGUGGGUUAUGUGGGUUAACAGAACAGGGCAAGAAUCCUUUUGCUUGUCAUUAGCUACACCCUCUGAUCCAUUUCACACCUGUUUAGUUGGAGUUCCCUUAGACUCAAUGGAAGAAUUCGGAAAUUGGACCAAAGCUCAAAUUCAUGGCAACUUAAGCAAGGCCUGGUCAAAUUGGUGUACUAAUCAAAAUAGAAUUAUUACAGAAAAUUGGUGUGAAAAACAAGAGAUCUGUAAAAACCCCUUAGGAGCUCAAGCAUUUACAAUUGCUUGAGAUUUCAAUACUACAAGCCAAGAACCACAAGAAUUGGAUAUUUUGGGAUCAGUGCCAGGAAAAUAUUGCUUGUUCUUUGGACACUACAAAGGUGAGGAGCUGAUUAGGGAGUCGUUAGGAAAACCCAGAAAUUAUAGCACUUGGAUAUCUCCUAUUUCUUUGUGCUAUUGCAAUACCACAGCAUAUUGUGACAAUUGCACAUGGCCUGUACCCUUAAAACAAAAAUCAGCAAGGAUGUUACCUCCUGGAGCUUUUCUCAUUUGCGAAGAUAAAGCUUGGCCUGCGGUUCCUCAGAAAGCAUUAGGGGGACCAUGCUAUUUUGAGAAAUUGACACUGUUUGCCCUUAACAUUCAACAGAUGUUUGACAUCAGGCACAAGUUCCAACCUCUGAAAUGUAGUGUGCAUCUAUUUGGCUCAGACUGUAGAGAAGAUGUAGAAUUGUGGAAUUGACCUUCGGUUAUACUGUCUUUAAUUUUUUCACCAAGGUAGCUUCAUCACAGGCCCUUACACAAUUGAAACAACUAGCUUGUUGGGUAGGAAAACAAAUUAACAUUACAUCUACAGUACUGAAUAAGCUCACCAUUGAUGUAGGUAGCAUACACCCCGCUGUGCUACAGGACAGGGCUGCUAUAGAUUUUUUGUUGCUAGCUCAAGGACAUGGGUGUGAAGAUUUUGAAGGGAUAUGUUGCAUGACUCUCUCUGACCACUCAAAUCUAUUCACAAGAAACUGUCACUGCUUAAAGAGAAUAUGAAAAAGCUCACAAUUCUUGAGAAUUCCUUUGAUGAAUGGCUAAAAUCCUGGGGCAUAACAGGCUGGCUUAAAGACUUAGUACGCCUUGGCAUUAUGAUAUUUUGUAUUCUUUUGGCAAUUUCAGUUAUAGUGCCUUGCUUACUAUGCUGUGUGCAAAAGUUAAUUGACCGCGCUUUUAAAUCAGUCUGGCUUGUGCAAAAACAAGAAUGGGGAAUUGUUGAGGAUUUUUUCCAAGUUGAGGAGUUUUUGCAAGAAAAUGGCCACAUUCCACUGGUGCACAAUCCAACCUGCUGGUAACAAUGGAUAAUGGAUGUUCAGAAAUAAAGGAUAAUGGACUUAUUCAACAACAGGGUCAGUAUAUCCUUGAGGAAGAUACAUGAAGAAGAGUCAUCAAGACUCAGCAAGUUUGAGAAAGUAGAAAAAAAGAUAGAAGUAAAGGGUGGGCCAGAGGACCACAGCAAGAUGCGUGAAAAAUUAGAUGAUCCAAUCAGCAUUCUAUUUUAAAUGCGUGAACAGCUAGGAUGAACCAAUCAUGUAUUAGCUAGAGACACAUGAACGGAAGAAACUUAUUAUAAAUAUAGCCUGUUAGAAUAAUAAA